GAUGAACGCUAGCGGCAGGCCUAAUACAUGCAAGUCGGACGGGAUUGAGGAGCUUGCUUCUCAUGAGAGUGGCGCACAGGUGCGUAACACGUAUGUAACCUAACUUGUUCAGGGGGAUAGCCUCUUGAAAGAGAGAUUAAGACCGCAUAACGUAGUGAUGUGGCAUCAUAUUACUACCAAAUAUUUAUAGGAACAAGAUGGGCAUGCGGAACAUUAGCUAGGUGGUAAGGUAACGGCUUACCAAGGCUACGAUGUUUAGGGGAUCUGAGAGGAUUACCCCCCACACUGGUACAGAGACACGGACCAGACUCCUACGGGAGGCAGCAGUAAGGAAUAUUGGUCAAUGGACGGAAGUCUGAACCAGCCAUGCCGCGUGCAGGAAGACGGCCCUACGGGUUGUAAACUGCUUUUAUACGGGAAUAAACCUACUUACGUGUAAGUAGCUGAAUGUACUGUAAGAAUAAGGAUCGGCUAACUCCGUGCCAGCAGCCGCGGUAACAC
rnacentral:rRNA from 1 species